rnacentral:rRNA from 1 species
AAUCAACGCUGGCGGCGUGCCUAACACAUGCAAGUCGAACGCGAAAGCCCGCAAGGGUGAGUAGAGUGGCGCACGGGUGAGUAACACGUGGACAACCUGCCUUCGAGUGGGGAAUAACCUUCCGAAAGGAGGGCUAAUACCGCAUAACACCUCGGGACACAAGUUCUGGGGUUGAAAAGAGCAAUUUGCUCGAAGAGGGGUCCGCGCCUGAUUAGCUAGUUGGUGAGGUAACGGCUCACCAAGGCUUCGAUCAGUAGCCGUCCUGAGAGGGAGCACGGCCACACUGGAACUGAGACACGGUCCAGACUCCUACGGGUGGCUG